rnacentral:lncRNA from 10 species
CUGUGGCCACAAACCCUCCCCAAGCACACACUCCAGGCUGCACACGACUCUGCCUCUUGUUAGCUGGGCAGCCUUGGGCAAGGGGGAGAACUGACUCCAGCCUCAGUUUCUUUCUCUCUACAUGGGGAUCCUCCUCCUUCCUUAGGUUGCCAAGAGGAUGAAAGUCACAAGUGGGCGUGGCAGGGCUUUGUUCCUUCUGAAGCUCAGGACAAAGCACUGGGCUUCCCUCCUGCCUGGGAGCCUUCAGGACGGCAUGGAGUUUGGCCACGUGGUGGGGAGAAGAAGACAAAAGGCGGUGAGGAGGAGCAACAAGAAGUCGUAAUGUAUGAAGAACCUGCAGCAGACUCAGGCACAUGGCAGAUGCUGGAGAAGUGGCAGCUACUGUUGUUUUCAGGGUUUGAGUCUUAAUUAGAAGCUGAAGGAAUGGGGUUCUGUGUCCACACAGGGGAUGUAGCAGGCUGAGAGCUCACAGCUGGUUACGGAGCUGAGAUAAGAAUGCAGGUACCAUCCCCAGCCCGGUUCUUUACUGCCUUCUGUGUCUUGUCCUACGAGGAACUAGAGUUUCCAGAUCAAUGAGAGGAAACAGAGAUGGAUGCCCAUGUCAUAAGGUGCCCCAGCUUCUUCCCAAGCAGCAGCACAGCACUGGGCGCACCUAGCAGGCCCGGGGGAGAGCAGUUGCCCUGUCAGGACUUCCAUGGGGGAACUGAGGCUGCCUGGCUACCCCCAGUAGGUGGUGGGGGUGCGGGGGUGUUGGAGACCGGGAAGGGGCCUUGAGCGCUCCACCCCUGACAUCCUGCACCCUCUGUAGCAGCCCUAGGCCUCUGAAUUAUUGGGGGCUCAUCUGCAUCAAAUCUGCAUUGAACUCACACAUGCCCUGUUCCUGCUGGACCAAGCAUCCAGGACCCGCUACAGAACAAGGUGAGGAAGAGAGCACUGGGCAGGGAGUCCGGAGGUCUGGAUUUGAGACACUGCUGUGCUAUUUUGCUCUGUAUCCUCAAGCACAUCAUGGCCCUUUUCUGGCCUACAGCUUCUUCAUCAGGAAAAGAGAGGGUGAUCUGGUGAGAGAUAAGCUUUCAGGUGUGGUAGUUCGAGACCAGGAGGCCCAGAAAUGAAGACGGCAGGGGGGUCUCUUUUCAGCCUAAAAGAGGAUACCUCAGCACAGCAGUGACUUACCCCAGGCCUUGGGGCGCUCAGACCACCAAAGUCCUCCCCUGGAAUGAGCUUGGGAUGGAUUUAACAUCAGGGGCCACUAGGAUGUGGCCUCUCCCCAGGGGCUUAGAAGUCCCGUGGCCCCAGCCUGCCCCGCUCCCUCAUCUUCCCCUCCUCAUACUUCCCAAUCUAGCCCCACCUCAACUGCCGGUGGGUCCUCAUAUACUCCAUGCUUUUUAUACCAUCAUACCUUGCCCAAGCUGUCUUUAGUCUGAAAGCCCCUUCCCCCACCUCUCACCUUCUUUCCAUUACACACUGGGCUUAAGUAUCACCUCCAGUCUUGAUCAGUAGCCUCUCCUGAGCUCCUACAAUCCCCUGAAUGUCCUUCUAGGGCAGAGGUUGGCAAACUUUUUCUGUGAAGGGCCAGAUAGUAGCUAUUUAGGCUUUGAGGGCCAAAUGGUCUCGGUCACACCACUCAAUCCUGCCACUAUGGGGCAGAAGCAGUCAGAGACAUUAGAUAAAUGAGUGAGCAUGGUUAUGUUUCAAUAAAACUUUAUUUACAAAAAACUGGUGACAGGCCAGGCCUGUGGCCUGUAUUUUGAUGACCUCUGCUCUAGAUCAUCACUGAUUGCGAGUCCAACAUGGUUUGCUUUCUUCCCUGUCCCUGCAGCACAGAGACUGUCAAAUUCAGCAAGAAUCCAGCUUGGGGUAGGUCUCAGUGCGGGACACUGAGCUAAAUGCGAGCACAGCCCCCCAGCCUCUGCUCCAUACUUACAGUUCUG